UAGGCGGAUUUAUUGGAACACCUGUCAAAGCAUUGCUUGGCUACAUGGAUGAAGUGGCUUGUUAACCAGUGGAGCAAUGUGGCUUAAUUUCCAGAUGGUUACUUUUAUCCAGUUUCAACUGACUGAUAAACUUCAAGAACUUUUAUGGAACUGGACUUAUUUGAUGGUGUGUAAACAGAUCAUCAGACUGCAGCUUCGUCUCAAACUCUCAAUAAAAUUUUGACAGCCGAGAAGGGUACACAUGCAACUUAAAUUUGAUCUGAUACGCAGGUUGAUACAACAACAUGGCAUCAACCUCCGCAGUCUUCUUAGUUUCCAAAUUGGUUGAACGUAAAAUCCAGCUGAGAACUGUCUUAAGGACAACAGAAUUGUGAAAUAGAUUAUGAGAGCAUCUGGCAACUGGCAAGCCGGUUCCAUUAUGCUCAGCUUUGAUGCGUUGCUAUGAAGGAUUAAAUCACAGCUUGCUUAUUGGUAACGAAAUCUGAGGCUAAGUCAUGAAAUUUCAUUAGUGAAUCUGGAAACUGAAAUUUCGAGACUAAUUUCCAGUUCCUUGCUUGAAUUUUAUGUAGGGUAAGCUCUGCUUCCUCUUUAAUUCUUCUAAUUGUUUUCUCUUCA